CCUACGGGAGGCUGCAGUGGGGGAUAUUGCUCAAUGGGCGGAACCCUGAACCAGCGACGCCGCGUGAGGGAAGAAGCGCCUCGGCGCGUAAAGCCCUUUCAGCAGGGAAGAAAAUGACGGUACGUGAAGAAGAAGCCCCGGCUAACUACGUGACAGCAGCCGCGGUAAUACGUCGGGGGCAAGCGUUAUCCGGAUGUACUGGGUGUAAAGGGGGCGCAGACGGCGAUGCAAGCCAGGAGUGAAAGCCCGGGGCCCAACCCCGGGACUGCUGUUGGAACUGCGUGGCUGGAGUGGAGGAGGGGGAGGCGGAAUUCCUGGUGUAGCGGUGAAAUGCGUAGAUAUCAGGAGGAACACCGGUGGCGAAGGCGGCCUGCUGGACUGCAACUGACGUUGAGGCCCGAAAGCGUGGGGAGCAAACAGGAUUAGAUACCCUAGUAGUC
rnacentral:rRNA from 1 species